CCAUAUCCACGAUCAGGUUUCUGAGACGUGGAGAGCUUACAGGCCCCCUCCUAAGCUCAACCGAGUGACUUGGUUGGACAUGAAUACGAUACACACAUCUUCUAUCUUUCAUUAUUCAUCAUCAUCAUCAUCAUCAUCAUCAAUUCUUUCUGUCUCAGUCUCUUGUGCUCUAGUUCCACACUUCCAGAGAUUAAACCCCAAGAGGGAAUCAGAAAUGUGUGAGUUUCCAUUGAAGUCUGCAAUCAAAUAUUUACAAAGCAAGAAUUUAAUCAACUAAUGGAGACUUGUUAGCUUCAAAACAAAAUGGGAUUUGUAGUUGUGGUUUCAGCGCCGGUUAUAUUGUUAAUAUUGGUUUGAGCCCUUGCUUUUUACCUCCUUGGAAGGGCAUCUGGCCGAAGGGAAUCACCUACUGCUCCACAAUUUUUUGGGCCUCCGGUCCCUCCAACCCAAGAGAAGUCCGCCGAGGUCUAGAAGUAAAACACUCACUUCUGUUAUGAUGUAAGGAGUCAUUUCACUUUUUGAACGAGUCACACUUUGAUAUUUGUAUAAAUUUUUGUUUUUCGGUAUUUAUAAUGAGUGUACAUAUUUAUAUGUGUACAUCUAUAUAUGAGUGUACAAUUUGAUAUGUGCUGCCUGUUUAGAUUAGACCAGCUCUCAUAGAUGAUGCUGAUGGAUUUCUUCGGAAUCGUUUUGUGUAUGCUGCUGUUUUGUAGUUUUCCUUUUGAAUAUAAAAAUGAGUUACUCCUUACAGUUAAGCAGCUAAAGCGGUGUUAUUGUAACAGUUUCAAUGUAAAUUGUAUGCUUCAUUGUAUAAAAUGUGUGCCCAUUGUCACCAA